CACAGGCUUUUGCUUCUGCAACCACACAAGCUGGGGUCCCUCUGGUCUGCAGGUAGCUGUCUGAUAUGUCAAGACUUCUUUUGCUCCUGAGUUUCAGCCUGAUGGCUUUCUCCACAGGUUUCUCCAUGCUACUGCUGCUGCCAUAAAAGGCACCAACAACGUUCUGACCACAGCUCAGAGCAGCUGCUUUACCAAAGGAGGCUUUGAAAUAGGUCCACUUGGAUUUCUGGGUUACAUGGCUCCCUCUUCUCCCUGUGUGAGUGGGUGUCUGUGAUUGUCUGAGUGGAGACAGGUGUGCUGGAGUCAGAGCAGAGCCCCGCCAGCUGCACCUAAUCCUGCAAUCAACCCCGCCUAUACAUUCUCAGCUCUGCCACAUCCACCAGAUUGUAGCCUCUGUUCAUUCUGUGUGCUUUGCCCUCCGGCCCCUGUCUCCUAGACCUCAUCUCAUCUUGUCUACUCUGUUCUCCUAACCUGGACCCACCAAGCUCCAUACUUUACCUUUGGGGUCUCUGCCUUGCUCUACUCUGAACCAUUCCCUGGGCCUCACUUGGCUACCUCAACCCUGCAGUCCUGAAAAUAAAUACCGUUUUCACUCCAAUCCUG